GGCUCCUGCCCAGGUUCUUCCUAAGAACUUUCCUGUCUGGCAGGCCCUGGGAUCUUCGCUGGAUUUACUACCCAGGCCUAGGUGGUCGUGCGCAUUACCUCUGCAUUCCAACCAGUGCCAGCCUGCUUUUAGGCUUCCAGUGGCCUCAUAGUGUCAUCAGUGUCCACAUUCCUUCGGACUAAAUUAGGACAAUAGGCCAGUGAGUUCAGAUAACCUUUGGCCGAGCAGUAAAUCUAAAUGGGAAUCCUUUCCAUGUGAAGGAAAACUACGGUCAGCUCUUUUCUGAGAUGGAGAUAGAGAAGAAAGCAUCGGCCAGGUCGGUCCCUGAGUGCCAGCCCCCUUUCGCCUGCUGUAUUUUCUGUAGGAUUGAGACCAUUUCCAGAACUGCUGAGACUAUGGGCAGCCUGUCUAAGAACUUUUGUUGUGUAGCUGUUAUUGCUUUAACAUCAAAUUCUGCAAUAUUUCUUUCUUAAUUCUUUAUUGUUGAAAGUAUUACAUAUGUCUCCUUUUUUCUCCCAUUGAUCUCUCCCAGCCCACUCUCACCCCCCCCCACCCCCACCCAGUACAGGCUCUUAACUCUCUACUGUCUGUGCCCGUUGGUUAUGCUUAUAAGCAUGCAUACAAGUCAAAUUCUGCAAUAUUUUAAUGAAUUAAGGAGAUGUUCUGGAUUGUAGCCUCAUUUGUACUUACUCCUAACCAGGGAAAUAGAAACCUGCCCAACAAAAUGGAUUAAUCCUAAGUCAUGAAAGCCUCCUGGUAGGUACUUUCUACCUCAACAAUGUAAACUCAGGGCAGCUGACCAAUGAGGCGUUCCCUUGUGUUUGUGAACAGUUGGUGGCUCAGUUAGAUAGCCUAGCCAUCUAGGCAUUUAUAAAUUCAAGGAAAAUGGUAACCACCACAGACAAAGAUAAAUCCUAUCUGACGCAAACCACUUCUGCUAAGGCGGCACUGUUAAUGUUUUCAUCUGCAGGGAUUGCUGUAUUUGCCCACUCAAGCAAGGGGCCUGUUAGAUUUUCUCCUAUCCUGAAAUAAGUUGUUCUAAAUUUUAGAGUUUACCCCCUUUAACAAUGGCCUAGGACCGUGGUCGGCAAACUGCGGCUUGUGAGCCACAUGUGGCUCUUUGGCCCCUUGAGUGUGGCUCUUCCACAAAAUACCACGUGCGGGCGCACGUACAGUGCAAUUGAAACUUCAUGGCCUAUGCGCAGAAGUCGUUUUCGGCCUGGGCGAGUCUAUUUUGAAGAAGUACUGUUGAUAUUUGGCUCUGUUGACUAAUGAGUUUGCCGACCACUGGCCUAGGAGAUUUGGUUGGUGGUAUUAUAUUUCCAGGCCAAUCCAAGAGUAACAGAAAUUUUUUGAAAAAGAGGAUUCAUGUUGAGUUCAAGUGUGAAGUCUUGACGUGGCGUCCCGGGAAGAAGCAGUCUGUCUUGGUGCUGGUGACUUUCUUCCUAGUCCAUUUAAUUUGAACAGAACCAGAUGGCAGACGGAGCCUUUUUUCAUCGUGAGAUGUAUAUCCCAGGUUCAGGUUACUGGUUUGGCUGCCAUCUGGGGACUGAGUAGGACCUGGAGAGUCCCUUCCAAGGAGAUUCAAGGACAUUCUUUGUUCCUAAUGAUUCCAAAUCAGAAGAGUGGGAGAAAAUUGGACACGUUCAUUAGCAGAAUUAAAGUCAGGUAUUUGAGGAAACUAGCAUUGAGGCUAUAGUACACAUUCAAAUUCAAUAAAACCUCGAAGAGAAUGAACAUGAUUAGAAUUUGUUAUAUUAAAAGGUGCAAACAUGAUUUUCCUCUCUAUAAUUACCCCACAUUGUAUCAAAGAUAAUCACAGUAAAACUAAUGUGUUUGCAUUAAACUUGGCCUGAUUAUUUACAUAAGUGUAGCGAGAAUAGUGUUUGACCCCGCAAACUAUUUUUAAGACUGCUUUGCUGGAACUUUUUGUAAGGAAUCUCAGAUGGCACUCUUGGGUGUCUCUGGGGUCAGGAAACCAGGUGGUUUCCAUCAGUCCCUUAAAGCUGUCUGAGUCUAUGCGUCUCUCUCUCAAAUAUCACAUUUCUGUCCGAACCAUAGUAAUAGCCAAGGUUUCCAAAUGUGCCCUGUUACAAGGAGAACCAUCAUCUCCAAGUAUUUGAUCUCAGUAAACCUACAGGGUGUUCUGAUCAUAAAUUUCUAACUGGGCAGGUCAUGGUAGGUAGUCACCAUCCGAGGCCUAUAACUUUUUGGUAAUAAAACCCAGGGUCCUUAUAACUUUUGAUUAAGUUUAGUUUUAAAUUCUAGCUGAUCCUGGCUGAGCUUGGUGAGUCGUGACUGGGCUCACUUAUGCUUUUGUGGUCAGCUGAGUUAGGUGACAGCUCUGCUGAUCUUGGGUGAGCUUCGGUAUCACAUGCUAGAGUGUGGACUGGUCCAAGAAGACUUUGGCUGUGACAACUCAGCUCUGCCCAAUCUCUCAGCCUCCAGCAGGCUAAGUCAGGCUUGCUUCCAUGGAGCUGGUAGGAUUUCAUGUUCAAGAAAACCCCAUCAUGCAAGAUAAGUAGAGAUACUCACGGGCUUUUUAAGCCUCUCCUUGUGGCAUGUUUGCUAACAUCCUAAUGGCCAAAGCAAAAUACACUCUUCGUCCAAAGUCAGAGGUGGGGAAGGGACUUCAAGUUACAGGAUAAGGGCAUGAAGAAGGAGAACCCAUUAAGCGGGCCCAUCAAUGCAAUACUGGCUUAUCGUUUUCCAAACUCUCCUUCUGACUGUGUACACCCUACCUAAUUUAAUCACUGAUGGAAAUGACAUCAUUGUCAACGACAACACCAAUGACUACAACAAAUAGACUUCAUGGACCACCAACCACUGUGCUUAGCCUAUAAAUAACUUCUUUUUUUUAAACAGUUCCUUAUUGUUGAAAGUAUUGCAUAUGUCUCAUUUUUUCCCCAUUAGCCUCUCCUCACCCACUCCUGUUCCCCAGCACAGACCCUCACCCACCCCGCUUUGUCUGUGACCAUUGGUUAUGCUUAUAUGCAUGCAUCCAGGUCCUUUGAUCACUUACCCCCUCUCCCCACCCCUCCUUACCCCCCUCCCCUACCCUCCCUUGCUUUCCCUGUGAGGUUUGAUGGUCCCGUCGAUGCUUCUAUGACUUUGGAUCUAUUUUUGUUCAUCAGUUUAUGUUGUUCAUUAUAUUUCACAAAUGAAUGAGAUCAUGUGAUAUUUUUCUUUCUCCGACUGGCUUAUUUCCUUUAGCACAAUGCUCUCCAGAUCCAUCCAUGCUGUUGCAAAUGAGCCAUCCCGGGCUUCCUGGAUGCCGGUGUCAGCUCCUUUGCGAUAAGGAAGGCUGAGGAAGAUGCUGUUAUGGUUUAACGUACGUCAAGGGCCAGAAUUGGUUUAUAAAGGGCAGAGUGGAAACACUUAAAGAGAAGAUCAUGGGCGAGCGUGAAGCUAUCACCUAGCUUUGAUGCUGUGCUUGUGGAUGAUUCAACUCUGGGUGAUAGGGGUGAACAGCUCUGCACCUCCCAGGCCAGAACACUGGAAAUGCUCAUCCCUUAGCAAUGUCCUUAGCAUUGGAAAAUCCAAGCAGCGAAGAAAGUGCUCCUCAACCGCGGGCCUGCAGCACCAUUGUGAGGUGCAGGUUGUGCAAAUGGGCAGGCAACCUGUGACACUGAGUCAGAGUUAGUUACAGAGAGCAUACACGUGUGCAUCCUUCAUUAUACACGAAUGCAUCAUUCUCUAGUUACGCAUGCAGUUCUGUUCUCAGACAUAUUACGAGCCAUGAAUGUGGUAUAAAGUUUCCAUUCAUCCAUCUGUUCACAGAAGAUAUUGAACCAGAUAACGUGAUAAACUCAAGAUACAAACAUGGAAAAGAAUAUGGUCCCUGUCUUCUAGGAAUUUACAGGCAAAGGAGAAGAGACAGAGCAGGAAACUGGUUCUGACUAUACUGAAAACCAUCUUGAAGGAGGUUUGAAGCAUGGCCUUUUGCUCUGUCUAGUUCUGAGUCAGCUGAGAGUCACAGGGGAGAAACACACAGCAACAGGUGGGUGCUAUUUGUGAUAAAAACUGUAUUGAAGGGCCCAGCCGGCUUGGCUCAGUGGUUGAGUGUCAGCCUAUGAACCAGGAGGUCACAGUUCAAUUCCCAGUCAGGACACAUGCCGGGUUGUGGGCUAGAUCCCCCGUGUGGGGUGUGCAGGAGGCAGCUGAUCAAUGAUUCUGUCUCAUCAUUGAUGUUUCUAUCUCUGAAAUCAAUAAAAAUAUAUUUUAAAAAAACAACAAAAAACUGAUUGAAGGAUGUGGUACCAGAUGUGUCACCCAGAGGUCUCACUAAGAGCUCUUCAGGCCAGAGCUGAACUUACCCACCCACAUUGGCGAAGCUUCCCCCAUAGAAAGAAGCUCUUACCCCCUGGUGGAGAACAGGCCAGAAUGCAAGUAUCCUGCCGACUGUCCAGCUUCCGGGGUAGAAGAACAGGGAGGGAGAGAACAAACGAGGACGUCAUGACACAUUUCCUCAGCCCCUCCUCCCAAACCCAGGAAUCCGAUACCUCACUCUUCCUUCCAUGAGAUGAAGUGAGUGAGGAACUGAGAGGGAGAAGCCAGCUGUCUUUCCUUCCCACUGGUGUCUUCAUAGGAAGAACGGAGCCAGAUACAGAUGAAGGUUCUUCUCUAAAACUGUGGGCUAACCCACAAAGAAAGCCUAACCUAAACUGGACUGGAGGGUCAAAGAAAGUUUCUCCAUUCCCACAGCUCGAGGAGGAGCUGUGUAGGUGAGAAAACGGGGUGUUACCGGGUUGCAGGAAAGACAGCCAUUAAGAAUGAUUCACAAAGACAUCGUGUCUGAAAGGAACUUUGGCGAAGGGAUUAAGAAGUACUAAUUGGUAGUUACAACAUAGUCAUGGGGAUGUAAAAUACAGCAUAGGGAAUAUAGUCAAUAAUAUUGUAAUAACUGUGUAUGGUGCAGGUGGAGAUUGGAAAUACCAAGGAGAACCCUUUGUAUAGUAUGACUGUCUAACCACUAUGCUAUACACCUGAAAACCAACACAAAAUAAUUGAAAGUAGCCUGGCUGGCGUGGCUCAGUGGUUGGGCAUCAACCUAUGAACCAGGAGGUCACAGUUCCAAUCCGGAUCAGGGCACAUGCCCUGGUUGUGGGCUCGAUCCCCAGUGUGGGGGCAUGAAAGUGAACUGUAACUGAAAAAAGAAAUGCAAAAAAUAAAAAAUAAAACGGACCUUGACAAUUAUAGGAAGUUGCAAUAAGUCGAGUGACUUAGUAAGCUCAUUCAAGACAGAAUAAAAAGGUUAGCUGCCAUACGGUGACAGGGAGGCCCAUGUUCAAGGAGAAUGAGCUGCCGGCGGCUUCAGCAGGUCUGUGGAGAAUGUGUAGGAGUGCAGGGGAUGGAAGAAGAGCUAUGGGACCAAGUAUGGAAGCAUCUAGGAUGCCAGGAUAUUAAGAUGAGAGGUGAGCCCAUAUCCUUUUCCCGAUGGCAGGACCCCAGAGAGGUAAUGAGGGCCUGUCACUUGAUGUCUGGGGAAUAGUAGGUAUUUAAUAAUUAGUAUGAAAAAUGAAUGUUCCUUUCUACUCUUUAGCACAUCCACAUGGUAAUCAGGGGUCUUUGCAAAAGAGUGAAAGGGCUGACAUUUGGUUUGGGGUCAUCGUCUCACUCCCAUCUUCACUCCCAUCUCUCAGAAUCUUUUUCUGGGUCUUUUCCAACCAACUUUAAAAUGGAAGGAAGGAUCAGAAUCUCAUCUAGACUAAUAGAUGGCAGAUAAAGAUGUCCUGUCAUGUCUCUUGUAGACAUUGGUUCCUUAAAUGAUUCCAGGCCUUGGCCUGGGAUGUCAUUCCUGCAGUGGGUGGGCCCCCUGGGGACAGCUGAAAGACUUCAAAUUGGACAUCAGUGGCAUGGGUUGAUGUCCAGUGUCCUGCUUAGAUGAGUGUCCCUGCUUCAGUAAGCAUUGCCUGUAUGCAGAAAUUUUCAUGGGGGACACAGACAAUACUCUCUUAAUUGCCAAAAAGGCAAAGAAAAUCUAGUCUUAGGGUUUUAAAUUUCCACCCUAAAUGAGCUUUUUAAGUUUUAUUUCCUUUAAGUCCGGUUCCAUUGCUUCUUCCUUGUGAAUGAAAUAUCACACAGGCACGGGUUCCUGAAGGUUAUCUAUAGCUUUGCCUAAAAUGGUUAUAAUUAGAGAAAUGAGAUAGUGCUAACUGCAGAGCCUGAAUAACAUUAUGCAAAAUGAAGGCACUUUAGAAGAAUAAAGAAACGAUGACAAUGCAAAUCAGAGCCCGUGAAGGUCAGGCGUUUUGCAUAAAGUGCCUUGCAAUCUAAUUCAUGUGAACUUAGCCCGAGGAGAGAAAAGUGACUUAUGAAAGCACAAUGCUUUUUCAAAGAGCAUUACUGCGGAGCCCUGGGCCUGCUUACAAGUCCCACUGGCAGCUGCAGGGAUUGGGCCGGGCGAGGAGCUGGGGGGAGGCAUAGCGAGGCUGAAAUGACAGGACCUUUGUUGGGAAAUAAAAUAUUUCCACCCCUGAUUGCACUCAAGCUGGCUUUCUUAACCCUUAGAUGGUUGAACUGAGUGGCUUUUGCUCAGGGAACAAACAGGACUAGGUGGUUGUUUACAGUUAUUUGCAGGCUACCAUGUUGAUUAUCUCGGCCAUUUGAAGCAGAUGGUUUUAAUUUAUUCUUCUUGUAAUUGAGGGUAUUGAGGCUCAGGUAGUUAAAGGCAUUAGCUAAUGGGCUCCUACGCACAAUUGUGGGAGCUGACAUGCCAACUCUGCUGGACUCUGAGGUCCAAAGUUAGCCCACUGUGUCACACUGCCUGGAAGGUCACUGUUGACUGUGCCCUGGGAACAUGUCGUCCUUGCCUGUAGAGUGAGGUCUUACCCUUGGUAGGACGAUCCUUUAACUUGACUUCAUCACACUCGGAGUAGAUGGGGGCCACAUUUUCUAGGGGUAGGUGGCUGCUUGGCCCCUCCGGUCCAAGCUGCUAUAUGUGUGCCCUGUUGUGCACGGCUAUUACUGCACAGGUGGCUUCUAUCAAGUUUUAGGGAGUAAAGGGUAUGAGUCAUGCCAACAUUGUGUAUUUUUAUAAAACCACCUUGUAUUCGGUGUAACACGCUGCCCAUUCUCGCUGAAUAGUCAAAAGAGAUGACACCUACUCAUUGAUCGUGAGCUCCUGUUUCAUAUAACUAAGGAUAUGCAAUGAAAGGGAGGCAGCAUGACCCCAUGCAGCUCGCCUUGCCAUGGCUGUCACCCGGAAGCCCUGGGAAGUCGUCAGGGCUCAGAGCUGAUGGCGGCAUUCUCUCCCCAGGUUGAGCCCUGCCAUGUUGAGGAAGCAGUUUCCAGAAUGUGGGCUAUGGGGGAAAGUGUAUACGACAUUACACUCCUGGGAAAGACUACCUUUACCAACCUGGGUUGGGGUUUAAGGGUCCGUUUGCAAACUUUAGGUUCUGCUGGGUGAUAAGCUGAACUGAGUAUCAAGGUCAUAUUCUCCUCAUGGGGAGAAUAAGAGUGAACGUCUAGGUGUCUUUCCAAAAAUAAUAUACCUGCAACCACCUUUCCAGCAAUUCAGAAAGCUGCGUUCCUCUCAUUCUACCCCUCCCCUCCACCCCUACUCUGCUUUUAUUAUUUUUUUACUAAGUGAUUUGAGCAUUGAGUUUGGCCCAAGAACACAAAUCUAUUCUCCCACUCACACUAAGCUGUUAAUGACGGGGGAAGAAUGGGGGCAGGAGCUAUUGGGGGAUUUGACAGGGAAAAGGCAGUCCACGGAGAGCGGUGUUCACUUGUUACUCCUCACAUUUUUUGAUAGUUGGAAUUUCUUGCAAUGAGUAAAAAGCAUUUAUGUAUUAGUUACCUGUGUGCACUUUUUACAUAAAAAAAAAAAAAAGUU